GAGAACAAAGAAAAAGGUGUGUCAAACGCGAAGGAAAAACAGAAGUGAAAAAUAAAAAAUGGCAAAAACCAUAAAAGACAUAAUGUAAAAAAAUAUUGAGCUAAAUAACAAAAUCCUCACUCCUCGUUUAGGGCACGAGGAGUGAUAAUAUAAGGGGAAGGCGAUUGUUAAUGUCACCUCUCUCCCUACCCCAAACAUUAUUGAUAAUGUAGGCAAACAUGCAUUUCACCCCACCUCCACAUCCAACCUUCAUCCAACUCCGGGACAGUCAGAGCCGUGACGUAAUGAGCUAAUAUUGGAGCCAAACGGUUAGAUUGAUUGAAGACAUCGAAGGCUGUAGACUGCAUUUGGCAUCGCUGUGGCAGCAGCUAUGAAUAUGAACAGACAGAUUUGAAAAUCAGAAUUGCUUAAUAUUUCAUCGGAAUCGUAUGUGUGAAGUCGGAAGAAAAUACUGCUGAAAGAUCUUUCCUACUUUCUUAUAAAACCAUGACUAUUAAAAUGAUUUGAAACUGUU